rnacentral:tRNA from 1 species
CAUUAGAUGGCUGAAAGUAAGUACUGGUCUCUUAAACCAUUAAAUAGUAAAUUAACAAGUACUUCUAAUGA